rnacentral:rRNA from 1 species
AUUACCGCGGCUGCUGGCACGUAGUUAGCCGGUGCUUAUUCUUACGGUACCGUCAUGGACCCCCUUUAUUAGAAGGAGUCUUUUCGUUCCGUACAAAAGCAGUUUACAACCCGAAGGCCUUCAUCCUGCACGCGGCAUGGCUGGAUCAGGCUUUCGCCCAUUGUCCAAAAUUCCCCACUGCUGCCUCCCGUAGG